GCUGAGAGGGAGAGCCAAUGGGAAGCCAAACCCACCGAGGCUGCCACGUGAUCGAAGGCAGAAGUGGGUGGGGAAACAAGGAGGCCCAAACAGCUGUGGAGCAGCCCUUUAGAGACGCCUGGAUUCGGAGAAAUAAGGAAGAAUCCCAGUUUGCCCUCCAUCAUGACUAACAUCUGUCGGGAGUGUCUGCCGGAAGCUUUUCCUUGUCUCCGCAGUAUGUUUUCUGAUUAAUACUGAAGCCCCUUGCUGUUACCAAGAUGUGCAGGCCUGCACUAACCUAAUACCAUCAGAGAAGCAGUUUACUUUUUAAAAAAUGUACAGAUUCACAUCUUCUGAUGAAUUAACCUGUGGCUAAUGUGAGCCAGUCCUGCUUCUCCGACAGAUGCAUCUUUCUGAUAGAUACAACUGACAAAAUAUAUUUUCUGCUUGCAUAUAUUGCAAUGAAAAUAAAUUGAGAUUUCUUAACACA